UACAGAACGCCCGGGCUUCGGCCUGGUUAUUCAUAACCCUUUGUUGUCCGACUCUGUUGCCUCCGGGGCGACCCUGCCUUCGGGCGGGGGCUCCGGGUGGACACUUCAAACUCUUGCGUAACUUUGCAGUCUGAGUAAACUUAAUUAAUAAAUUAAAACUUUUAACAACGGAUCUCUUGGUUCUGGCAUCGAUGAAGAACGCAGCGAAAUGCGAUAAGUAAUGUGAAUUGCAGAAUUCAGUGAAUCAUCGAAUCUUUGAACGCACAUUGCGCCCCCUGGUAUUCCGGGGGGCAUGCCUGUUCGAGCGUCAUUUCACCACUCAAGCCUCGCUUGGUAUUGGGCAACGCGGUCCGCCGCGUGCCUCAAAUCGUCCGGCUGGGUCUUCUGUCCCCUAAGCGUUGUGGAAACUAUUCGCUAAAGGGUGUUCGGGAGGCUACGCCGUAAAACAACCCCAUUUCUAAGGUUGACCUCGGAUCAGGUAGGGAUACCCGCUGAACUUAAGCAUA
rnacentral:rRNA from 1 species